rnacentral:SRP_RNA from 1 species
UCGUGCUAAGCGGGGGGCUGGUGGUCCCCUAUACCCGAAACCCACCUUAUGCGGGGCUGAAUUCCCCGUCUGAGGCUCCCUGGGUUCGGCAUCGGCACAUCCGGUGACGUUGAAGGUUGGGUCCCACGCAACAACUACCUGCGAACCGGGUCAGGUCCGGAAGGAAGCAGCCCUAAGUAGGCAAGUGUGUGCCGUGGGAGUGCCCGGCUGGAGCCACGCAGGAUGUGUGCGACCGGGUCUGGGCUCGUCGAAGCGGGGUGCACGG